AAGNGAGAAGCAUAAGUGGUNUANUAUGCGACUGGCUUGAAACUAGUGUAUGAGGGUUCGACUCCUU
rnacentral:tRNA from 1 species